UGUCUCUCCUGCCAUCGUGUGAAGAAGGUGGCUGUUUCUCCUUCCACCAUGAUUGUAAAUUUCCCGAGGCUUCCCUAGCCAUGCGGAAUUGAUAUGGCUCACAUAGGCACCCCAGAAAUGCCUGCUGAGUGAAAUGAUGAUGUGUCUCUAUAGAAAUGAUAUUUUUCUCUGCAAAUGCACAUGCCUCAGGAAUUGCAAAUCUAUGAUCUUCCCCAAAGAAUAACCUCUGGUUCAUUUUGGAUUGAGUCAAAAGUUUCUACUACAGUGUUGUUCUGUGAAGAGGAACGGGUGCUGGAGAGCUAAGCUGGGCAGGAGGCAGGAGGCAGGAGGGACUCUCUGCAGCAAUCAGCAGGUGUGCACUGAUGGCUGGGCUCCUACUGAGGGCAGUGGAAGAGGUGGUUGCUUUUGGUAGGGCCCAUUCCGAUUGCUCAUUGCCUGGAAAUUUUCAACUCACACAAAGAAAAGGCCAUGUGAAGACACAGAGAGAAGGCAGCUGUUUGGAAGCCAGCAAGAGAGGCCUCACCAGAAACCAAACCUGAUGGAACCUUGAUCUUGAAUUUUCAACCUGGC